UACGUAGGCAGCGAGCGUUGUUCGGAGUUACUGGGAGUAGAGGGUGUGUAGGCGGUUUUCUAAGUUUGGUGUGAAAUCUCCCGGCUCAACCGGGAGGGUGCGCCGAAAACUGGGAGACUAGAGUGCGGGAUGGGAGAGUAGAAUUCCUGGUGUAGCGGUGAAAUGCGUAGAUAUCAGGAGGAAUACCGGUGGUGUAGACGGCUCUCUGGACCGCCACUGACGCUGAGACACGAAAGCGUGGGUAGCAAACAGG
rnacentral:rRNA from 1 species